rnacentral:rRNA from 1 species
AUGCCCAGAUGUUUCCCUCUCUGUCCCUCUCAACUUUUUCUUUUUUUCAAAUUGGCCCUCUCAACUUCGAUAGGCGGAACUCCUUCUACCGUGUUGGGAUGCCUCAUCGUCCAACCACCUCCUUCUAGCAUUCAGAUGAUCAGGCCGCCGGAGCCUCACGACACACUUAUGGAGCUUCGGGCGAGGAGCCAGUUCAGGCGUGCCGAGCGGCGUGGGUUUGAUACUCUGGUAAUUAUCACGGCAUGGGCCUUGUGGAAGCAGAGAAACGCCCGGGUGUUUAACAGGCCGUCGCAAUUCAAGAACCCUACGCAAUUAUUGUGCCAAAUCGCGAAGGAGGUGCAGAAUCUUAGGACCGCAGGGAUAGAAGUAGGAGGUCUAUAA